rnacentral:rRNA from 1 species
UCAUGGGAGUUGUCAAGGCGUGAAGUCCGUGGGCUAACCGCAGCAGUGCGGAAGCAGCGGCCGAGCGCCGGGGCAGCGACUGGGACG